UGUCUGAAACGCGCAAAACUGGAAUGGCACAGGGGGUUCACUGAAAUGGAUUCUGUGCUUCCUGCACAUGCUUCAACUGUUGCUCAACUACGUUCUAUCAAGUCCAUACAUGAAACCCAAAGGGACAAGACAUUUCUAGACUGGUGGUGUAUCGGCACUGCUUAACUGGUUUCCACCAUGAACAGGGAGGAACAUGGCGCCCUAUUGGUUGUUAAAACUGAAACGUGCCAGGUACCAUCCAAUAGGAAUGACUUGGACUGUCUGUUGCCAUAGCCAUUUUAUAGAAUCCACAGAAAGUGGCAAAGGUAAACCUCUGUUUGGAACUCGAAGUUAAUAUGUUUUCCUUCAUUAUCAUGCUCAGACGAAACACACAUUUACAGGUAAUUGAAUUGAUUUUGUUCUCUUAAUAAAGACUUUGGAUGUUGAACUUUAA